UACAUGGGGUGCAAACGUUGCUCGGAAUUAUUGGGCGUAAAGCGCGCGUAGGCGGUUACUUAAGUCGGAUGUGAAAGCCCUCGGCUUAACUGAGGAAGUGCACCCGAAACUGAGUAGCUGGAGUACGAAAGAGGGUCGCGGAAUUCCCGGUGUAGAGGUGAAAUUCGUAGAUAUUCGGAGGAACACCAGUGGCGAAGGCGGCUCACUGGUCCGGUACUGACGCUGAGGUGCGAAAGCGUGGGGAGCAAACAGG
rnacentral:rRNA from 1 species